UACGGGGGGGGCAAGCGUUGAUCGGAAUUACUGGGCGUAAAGGGUGCGUAGGCGGCUGUUCAAGUCAGACGUGAAAGCCCCGGGCUUAACCUGGGAACUGCAGGUGAUACUGGGCAUCUCGAGUUGAGUAGAGGAGAGGGGAAUUUCCGGUGUAGCGGUGAAAUGCGUAGAGAUCGGAAGGAACACCGGUGGCGAAGGCGGCUCUCUGGACGGAAACUGACGCUGAGGUGCGAAAGCUUGGGUAGCAAACGGG
rnacentral:rRNA from 1 species